CUACGUGCCAGCAGCCGCGGUAAUACGGAAGGUCCAGGCGUUAUCCGGAUUUAUUGGGUUUAAAGGGAGCGUAGGCUGCCGUUUAAGCGUGUUGUGAAAUGUACCGGCUCAACCGGUGAUGUGCAGCGCGAACUGGAUGGCUUGAGUUCGAAGAGGGAAUGCGGAACUCGUGGUGUAGCGGUGAAAUGCUUAGAUAUCACGAGGAACUCCGAUCGCGAAGGCAGCAUUCCGUUUCGUGACUGACGCUGAUGCUCGAAAGUGCGGGUAUCGAACAGGAUUAGAUACCCUGGUAGUCCGCACGGUAAACGAUGGAUGCUCGCUGUUGGAUAUUUUUAUUCAGUGGCUAAGUGAAAGCAUUAAGCAUCCCACCUGGGGAGUACGCCGGCAACGGUGAAACUCAAAGGAAUUGACGGGGGCCCGCACAAGCGGAGGAACAUGUGGUUUAAUUCGAUGAUACGCGAGGAACCUUACCCGGGCU
rnacentral:rRNA from 1 species